rnacentral:lncRNA from 1 species
CUCCAGUUCCAAUGAAGAUCUCUUCAGUACUUCAGUGGUGGAAAAAAAAUUGUCAUUUUCUCCAGGGUGAACUGUUCUCUUGACUGUCUAUCUAGAUCUCCAUCACACACCAAGAAAGUAUAGACACUUACAGUCUUUUAGCUUGUUCAGCUAUAUUUGGAAGGACUUUUCAGGAACCAUUACUGAGAAAAAUGAUAAAAACUAAGACCAGGACUUGAGGCUCCUCAUUAGAAGAACUGGUGCACAGUACAGAAGAGAAUUGAAUAAAGCUAACAAAGAAAUAAGAUUAUUGCAUCUUAAUUGUUUUCAAGGGAUGUUAAGAGCUAAUUCUGCUGAGCAGUUAAUACUUUAGUCUCUCACCGGUAUAUCUCUCAGAGCCAAAGGCAGGAUGAGGAAGUGCCUCAGUGUUUAAUUCCAUUAUGGCCUCCUUGUUCCAUUUGACAGCAGGAUAAAUGCAGUUUUGCUUGUACAAACUGUAUCUGUACUUUGGCAAUACUGUGCAUUGAUACACUGAAGCUACAGUAGAUAUUACCAUAUGUAUCAUAUAAAAAAAGGAAGUUAAGG